rnacentral:lncRNA from 1 species
AACUGUCUGAGCUAUGAUAACGCCCUUCCAGACUUCUCCAACGACGAACUUCUUCAGUCGUCCACCGGACUGCUUCAAAUGCUCCCCGAGCUUCACUAUCUACCGACCUUCUACAAUGAUCGACCGUUCUCCGGACCUCUUCCAGAUCUCUUCCAGCCAUGACAGAUUCUAAUCCGAACUUCCCAGACUUCGUCCACGGCCAAACUUCCCC